UGAGGAACAUGACCUUCGGCGGGGGAUAGCCGGCCCAACGGCCGGGUAAUACCGCGUACGACCACUUUGGGACAUCCCUAGGUGGUGAAAGCAGCAAUGCGCCGAUGGAGUGCCUCGCGGCCUAUCAGCUAGUUGGUGUGGGUAAUGGCCCACCAAGGCGACGACGGGUAGCCGGCCUGAGAGGGUGACCGGCCACACUGGGACUGAGACACGGCCCAGACUCCUACGGGGAGCAG
rnacentral:rRNA from 1 species